rnacentral:rRNA from 1 species
UACGUAGGGUGCAAGCGUUGUCCGGAAUUAUUGGGCGUAAAGAGCUCGUAGGCGGUUUGUCGCGUCGAAUGUGAAAACCCGGGGCUCAACCCCGGGCCUGCAUUCGAUACGGGCAGACUAGAGUUCGGUAGGGGAGUCUGGAAUUCCUGGUGUAGCGGUGAAAUGCGCAGAUAUCAGGAGGAACACCGGUGGCGAAGGCGGCGACCUGGGUAGAUACUGACGCUGAGGCGCGAAAGCGUGGGGAGCAAACAGG